GCGUCAGGAGUUUAGUGGUAAAUCCAUCGUUGCCAUUGAUGGGCCCCGCGUUCGAUUCGCGGCUGACGUA